GUAGAUGUGCACAAUAAGCUGUCAGACAGCUCCAAGGGCAGACGGUGUCUCUUUCUCCACAGUAAAGUACCCAAAGCCUGAAGAAAAACAAAUUUAUUUUCUCUCGGCAGUUGCUGAAAACUGUAGCCUUAAACCAGUAACUAAGAGACUUUGCAGUUUGUGUACUAAUCAUCUGUGCCUCCUGCAGAUAAGUGAAGAGAACUUGAAGAAAAGAGGUUGAAGAACAGAAAAUUCUGGCAAGCAAAACUAUCAUCGUAGUGGACAAUGUGGACUGAGGUCGGAAACUUUGGUGUCUCCGAAGUUUCAGCUCACCACUGAGGAAAACGCGAUUUUGAAGUACUACUGGCUGUUCCCACUUGCCAUACCCGGUAUCUGGAUGAAGACUUCGGACUGUGUAGGCCUUCAGUCUGUGUUGAGUCCAACAUGUAGUGGAUCUAUCAGGUGGUUUUAUUGCUGAUUCCAUUGAGUUGGAGGAAUACUUAGAGAAGAAGGGGCCUGACAAAGCAGACGGCAUUUUCUAAAUUGGCUGGAAUAUAAGCUAUUUGCUCACCUUCUGCGCUGGAGACUAGUGUGGGAUAGAGAGCUGUGGCAACAAAGUGGAAUGAUAAUAUUUGUUUGUGUUAAAAUAAAUACAUUUUUGUGUUGGAAAUAUGAUUUUAUUUGAAUUUCAAGCACAAUGCAGCGUGAUCAUUAAUCCCACAAAGAAGGGAACAUUUGGAGGCCUUAAUUACUUGUGACAAGACAUAUGACAUAUUAGAUUCUGUAGACCACACCUUAUAGGUGAAUGAGACCAAAAAGAUAUAUCCAUACUUUAAAUAGAUUUUAGCACAGACUUGGCAAAAACAUUUGUGUUUGGGAGAGUUAUAAGGAUAUUGAGGCGGUUGGAAAGACAGCCUGUCGU